AAGUCGUAACAAGGUUUCCGUAGGUGAACCUGCGGAAGGAUCAUUAUUGAAUUCAAAUGCAGACGCUGUCGCUGGCUCGUCAAGAGCAUAUGCACGCUGGCGCAUAUAUUCAACCACCUGUGAACCUAUUGUAGACCUGAGGAUAUUUCUCAAGGAAACUUGGACGUAGAGCUUGUUGGCUUCAUCUGAAGUCGACUGCCCUUGCUUCUCAGGUCUAUGUUUUUCAUAUACCCCAUAAUAUGUUACAGAAUGUAAAAUGGCUUGUAUAAGCCUUUAACCUUAUACAACUUUCAACAACGGAUCUCUUGGCUCUC
rnacentral:misc_RNA from 1 species